rnacentral:rRNA from 1 species
UAGGGAAUCUUCCGCAAUGGACGCAAGUCUGACGGAGCAACGCCGCGUGAGUGAAGAAGGAUUUCGGUUCGUAAAACUCUGUUGUUAGAGAAGAACAGCGCAUAGAGUAACUGUUAUGCGUGUGACGGUAUCUAACCAGAAAGCCACGGCUAACUACGUGCCAGCAGCCGCGGUAAUACGUAGGUGGCAAGCGUUGUCCGGAUUUAUUGGGCGUAAAGCGAGCGCAGGCGGUUAGAUAAGUCUGAAGUUAAAGGCAGUGGCUCAACCAUUGUAGGCUUUGGAAACUGUUUAACUUGAGUGCAGAAGGGGAGAGUGGAAUUCCAUGAGUAGCGGUGAAAUGCGUAGAUAUAUGGAGGAACACCGGUGGCGAAAGCGGCUCUCUGGUCUGUAACUGACGCUGAGGCUCGAAAGCGUGGGGAGCGAACAGG